rnacentral:rRNA from 1 species
UACGUAGGGGGCAAGCGUUUGUCCGGAGUUACUGGGCGUAAAGCGCACGCAGGCGGUCUCUUAAGUUUGGAGUGACAGUUGGUGGCUUAACUGCCAAAGUGCUUCGAAAACUGAGAGACUUGAGGGCUUCAGAGGGACACGGAAUUCCGGGUGGAGUGGUGAAAUGCGUAGAGAUCCGGAGGAACACCAAAGGCGAAGGCAGUGUCCUGGGGAGUACCUGACGCUCAGGUGCGAAAGCCAGGGGAGCGAACGGGG